UACGGGAGGCAGCAGUGGGGAAUUUUGGACAAUGGGCGAAAGCCUGACGCAGCCAUGCCGCGUGAAUGAUGAAGGUCUUAGGAUUGUAAAAUUCUUUCACCGGGGAAGAUAAUGACGGUACCCGGAGAAGAAGCCCCGGCUAACUUCGUGCCAGCAGCCGCGGUAAU
rnacentral:rRNA from 1 species